rnacentral:rRNA from 1 species
UACGUAGGGUGCGAGCGUUGUCCGGAAUUACUGGGCGUAAAGAGCUCGUAGGUGGUUUGUCGCGUUGUUCGUGAAAUCUCACGGCUUAACUGUGAGCGUGCGGGCGGUACGGGCAGACUGGAGUACUGCAGGGGAGACUGGAAUUCCUGGUGUAGCGGUGGAAUGCGCAGAUAUCAGGAGGAACACCGGUGGCGAAGGCGGGUCUCUGGGCAGUAACUGACGCUGAGGAGCGAAAGCGUGGGGAGCGAACAGG